UGGGGAAUAUUGGACAAUGGGCGCAAGCCUGAUCCAGCCAUGCCGCGUGAGUGAUGAAGGCCCUAGGGUUGUAAAGCUCUUUCACCGGUGAAGAUAAUGACGGUAACCGGAGAAGAAGCCCCGGCUAACUUCGUGCCAGCAGCCGCGGUAAUACGAAGGGGGCUAGCGUUGUUCGGAUUUACUGGGCGUAAAGCGCACGUAGGCGGACUUUUAAGUCAGGGGUGAAAUCCCGGGGCUCAACCCCGGAACUGCCUUUGAUACUGGAAGUCUUGAGUAUGGUAGAGGUGAGUGGAAUUCCGAGUGUAGAGGUGAAAUUCGUAGAAAUUCGGAGGAACACCAGUGGCGAAGGCGGCUCACUGGACCAUUACUGACGCUGAGGUGCGAAAGCGUGGGGAGCAAACAGG
rnacentral:rRNA from 1 species